ACACACAUACACACACACACACAUAUAUAAAAUUUACCCUGAUGGUUUAUUACAAGAAAUUGAAUAUAGUUCCCUGUGCUAUACAGUAGGACCUUGUUUAUCAUUUUAUAUAUAGUCGUUUGUAUGUGCUAAUCCAAAACUGAUUUAUCUCACCCCCCAUAUUUCCCCUUUGGUAGCUAUAAGUUUGUUUUCUAAGCUAUAAGUUUGUUUUCUAAAUCUGUGAGUCUGUUUUGUAAAUAAGUUCCUUUGUAUCAUAUUUUAGAUUCUACAUAUAAAUGAUAUCGUAUGACAUUUGUCUGUCUCUGUCUGACUUACUUCACUGAAUAUGAUAAGCUCUAGGUCCAUCCAUGUUGCUGCAAAUGGCAUUAUUUUCUUCCUUUUGAUGGCUCAGUAUAGGAGGUUUUUAGACAGGCUCUGGAUCAGAGUCUUCGGGGAAGUCAUUGGAAUCACAGAAACAUUUGUAAUCAGCUUCCCCAACCUUGUUGUUUUACAGAUGAGGAAACUAAGCCUGGGAGAAGGUACAUGGCUCAAGUUCUUGAAGGCCUUGCCUAGCCUGAUUUAAAUAUUUGGCUCUUCCAAUUAAAAUUGUGAAUUGAUCUGAAUAUACUUCUCAUAGAGGGUCUUGUUCUUUUGUGGUGUACUGUCCCCAGUCAUCUGUAUUCCUACUUGGAAGACAAAAGGCAUAUGGAUACUUUCUGUCCCUGAAGAAAAGUUAACAUAAAGUACUGCAUAUGGCAUCCAGAAAUGUCUCAGUCAGAGAAGUGCUGGAAGGAGUCCUCUAGCUAAGAAAUCAAUGGCAAAUCUGAAAAAGGAAUCUGGGUGAAUUAAUUCUCAUGCCUGUAUUUUGCUGAUAAAACACAAACUGUGAUACUGCUAUUAUGGUAUAUAUCCAAAAGAAUUGAAGACAGAAUCUCCAAGAGAUAUUUGCAUACCCCUGGACAGCAAGGAGAUGAAACCAGUCAAUCUUAAGGGAGAUCAACCUUGAAUAUUCAGCAGAAAGACUGAUGCUGAAACUGAAAUUCCAGUAUUUUGGUCAUCCGAACAGACGAC